GCUUCAUCAAGCUCGAAAUUUAAAUAUGAACCCGCCUUCAAUUUGUAUGCAUUCACUCAAACUCCUAUUAAAAAAGGAGGUAAACAACCUAUUGUUACCCCGGCAGUAGUUCAACAAAAAUCGCCUACCUAAAAAGAUGCUAAAAGGAAGGGAAAAAACAUUUCGCCUAGUAAGUCUAAAGAAAUCAUCGACGACUCUGAUUUUGAAGUCGAAAUCGAGUGUUCUACUGCUAAAAAAAAUAAGGUUGACAAAGUUGAAGCAUCACAGCGGAAGAAAAAAAAUCGAGGCUCCUAUUGUUAUAAAAAAAAGAGGUUGAGAAAGGUGAAACAUUAGAGAGGAAGCAUGUCAAACCUAAAUUGAAGGUAAAGAAGAUACAAACUCACUGGUGUUCUUACGCCAACAUCAAAUCUAUUGAUAAAAUAAAGGCGCGACUAAACAAGAAGCAAUUGCAGAUGUUUAGAGAUUCCCCAUUUGGAUAUUUUCUUGAUUUACCGAAGAUCAAGGUUCACCCACAGCUCAUUUACAACUUGAUGUAUGCGGAGACUGAAAAUGAUAAGGACGAUAUGUUUAUCGUCAAGUUGAAUGAGAACGAACUCUAUUUUCGCAUAAGAGAGUUUUCCAAUAUCAGUGGUUUGAAAUGUGUCAUGCCGAGUGAUUUCGUUUCGGACCUAAUUCACUAAACAAGUUAAUGAAUAGUUACUUUUCCGAUUAACGAAGAGUACCAAAGAAUGAGUUGAUAAGGAUUUUUGAAGGUUCAACUUGUGUGGGGGAUGACGAUCUUGUGAAGGUCUCCAUUCUGUAUUUUAUUAGCACAUUCCUAUUCGCAAUCAAGAAUACGAAAGCUUAUGUAUCUAAGUUGCUCUUUGACUUAGUGGAGAGUGGUGAACACCUACAUUAUCCUUUGGGAAACGUUUGUUUUAAGGAGUUGCUUGGUUCUGUUAGUAACAAGUUGAGUGGUGAUCGGACAUAUUAUAGGUUUGGGGGCUUUCCACUUGCCUUGCAAGUUUUGUUCUAUGAGUGUUGCUUGAAGGUUCAGCCAUUGGUUGCUACCCUAUUGGAAACCACAUUCCCCGAAUUCUUAACUGGUAAACAUACCAGGAAACAUUGUCCUUUGACUACAUGAAGAAGGGGAUGUUCAGAACAUACGACAAUCAGGUAAAUAAGAAUAGUUUCAAAAUCAUAUAUACAGAUUUCAUGCACUUUUAAUGCACAUAUUAUAUUUCAAUGUUUGUAUAGAAUUGCUAACUUGUGAGUAUUUUAUUUAUACAUGUUUAUGCUUUUAUUGGUGGUUGGUGGUUUUUUUCAACAUCGCCCCAGCAAAUAAUGAAUUGCCACUUCUCACUGAGUUACCGGAUGUUCCACGACCACACACUACCACACAUGAUAACCCUUUUAUACAUGGUGUUGAGUUCCAGGCAUUGAAAAAGGAAGUUGUAAAUGUACGUAUGGAAUUCACUAGUUCUAUAUUACAAUUUAUGGAAUGGUUUUUAUGCGGUUAACACUAUCACUAAUUAUAUUCUCCAUCUUUAUAGGUUCGCGAAGAUUUGAAACUAUUUCAGAAGAAGGUGGAAGAUGAUUUUAAACAAAUGAAGCAACACAUGGACAAAUCAUUCAGGAACAUACUUAAACGGAUCAAGUCCUCACAUGGCAAACAAACUGAAAAUUAUGAAGUUGAGGUCAUUUUUGUUAUCUUUUUAUGGCGAUUCCUUUGUAUUAUCCAUCUAUUUUAAGUUUGGUUAUGCAUACACUAAUAAACAGGUUAUGGAGGUGUUAAGGUCGUUGGUGAAAAAAGAAAAACAAGCAGCAAGCAGGAUGAAAAGUAUCCCGAUAUAUGAGAAGAUUUGAUGAACAAGCGACUAAGGGUGAGGUUGGUGGGCAGGAUGGAUGUGUGCUAAUAUCUGGUCAAGUUGCAGCACAAUUGAAGAAUCAAAGUCAUUCUUUAACUUCAAGUAAAUUUUCUUAAUAUCUUGCAUGUUUCACACCCUUAAACACAUUUAUGAAAGAUGUGUAAAAGGUGUAUGAAAUUUUUUCUAGUGAAUAUUUCAGGACUUAAUUGCUACACAUAUUUUUGUAUGAAAAAUGUAGUCGGUGUUCAUGAAGGAUUUAGUGAAGCAAGUGAUAAAGGUCUAGAUGAUCCAGAAGCAUUG